CAGUAGCCGCGGGAAUACAAAGGAUGCAAGCGUUAUCCGGAAUGAUUGGGCGUAAAGCGUCUAUAGGUGGCUUUUCAAGUCCACCGUCAAAUCCCCGGGCUCAACCCCGGACAAGCAGUGGAAACUACCAAGCUGGAGUACGGUAGGGGCAGAGGGAAUUUCCAGUGGAGCGGUGAAAUGCGUUGAGAUCGGAAGGAACGCCCGUGGCGAAAGCGGGCUCCUGGACCCCACCUGACGCUGAGACGCGAAAGCCGGGGGAGCGAACGGGAUUAGAUACCCCAGUAGUCCCUGUCUCUUAUAA
rnacentral:rRNA from 1 species